GGAUUGGUGAUACAAAACAGGAUCACCCCGUUCUUCAUUGUUUUCCUUUGACUGCUGCUGAAGCAAAUUCUACCUGGCAGCAGCUUGGGCUCUACAAUACUCAUCCCCUGGGCUGAGAUCUGCAACAAGCGUAAAAAGGAUAAGGAGGAAAGGCAAUGAAAUCCACAUGGCUAAUCACCUCCUAACUUAAGAAAAGCAUACAGAAAGCAGCAAAUAGGAAAUAGUCCUUUUGUGGAAAACACAGCUAACCCCACUGACAAAACGGGAAGAGAGCCUGCCUCAGAAUAACCUGUUGACAUAUGGAGAAUGAUGGAAACAAAUGCUGCCUGGAUGUUGGAUGAUACAGGCAGCAUGUGACACAAAAACUCUGUGAUGAAUGGAAUUAACUCUCAUUUUGAGAAGUGAAGUAUCUGCUUCAGCCCUGAUCCUUUCUGACAUCUUGAAAUGUCAAACUGAUAUCCAGUGGACUCUUGAACUCUGCUAUCUGCCAAGAAGAAAUUUGGGCCUUCGAGUUUUCAUUCUAGAAUGAAAUCUCUAGAUGUUAUCUAGCUAGAAGUAUAUUAUCCAUCCCCUUGGAAAUCGGGAUAACAGAUUUCGGGAAGGUGUCUGGUGCCAAUUUUGUUAUUAAAAUGUUGAUUAUAACCAUCUGAAUCAUCCACACCAGUUAUAAAUCCUAAAUAUUAGAUAUUCUUUUUCUUUGAGAUUUUAUUUCCACCUGCAUCAUUGCAUGGGCUUGCAGUGCACCAAUUUUCCUGAGCCCUUCUGUAAAAUGAAGAAAUUAUUCCACUCAUGCUUCAACUCUGACUUCAAAAUACCCAGGAACUGUCACACUGCCCAAUUGUUUUGGUAAAGUGUGAAUUGCACUUUUGCAAUGUGUGAUAGUUGAAAAAUUUCCCAAUUGGAUGAGAUUUUCCCCAUCUUAUGUAGCCUUUGGUCCAAUAAAAUAUAUUGUUCCUCCUGGUGGUCUGCAGUGAGAUUUUCAGGGAACUCAGCCUCGUAGAAGGAGUAGGCUUCCACAAAGCUGCAAUUAGACCUUGCUCAGCAUUUUUUGAAACGAUUGUUUCAGUAUAUUCCAAAGCCAGGUUUUACUCAGUAGGAAUGGAUAUUCAUGCCUCAUAAAAAGCUGAACAAAUACAGUUGUUUUUUGUUUGUUUGUUUUGUUUGUUUGUUUUGGUUUGGAUAUUUUUUAUUUUUAUUUAUUUUUUAUUUUUUUGCACAGAGGAUCAUUCAAAUGAUUGUAGCUCAUUUUGUGGAAUAGGUGUUAUGCUCAUUAACUUGUUUCUUAACAUCUGCACUGCAGCUUUGGCAGAUCACAGGAGACAGUUUGUUGGAGCGUGCUUUCAGAGGCACAUGAUGCCAAACCUUAUGUACUUAUUUCCACCUGAAAAAUCAGUUUCCAAAGUCCUUGAAAAAUCACUAGCCCCAUACAUCUGCAGUGGAGAGCUGUCACAGUGUAGGUCCAUGGUACAAUACUCUGUGUUCAGAAAUGGAGGCGCCAAAAAAUCAAACUUUAUGUAUGUAAUUCUAAGUCAGUUAAUGAAGUGUCCUAUACUACCAAAUUGUGUCUUACAACAACCAAAUAUUACUCAAAAAAAAAAAAAAAAAAAAGAUUUUUUUCUUAUUUCCUGAACAGGUAACACUGCUUCUCUUUGUCCCAGAUGGAGCAUACAACAUGUUGUUGAAGUGCUUUGAAAAAUACUUUUUUUAAUUCAAUAAUCACAGAACCAUAGAAUUGUAGGGGUUGGAAGGGACCUCCAGAGAUCAUCGAGCCCAACCCCCCUGCAAAGCAGGCCCCCUACAGCAGGUUGAACAGGUAGGCAUCCAGGUGGGUCUUGAAUAUCUCCAGAGAAGGAAAAUACACAACCUCCCUGGGCAGCCUGUUCCUGUGCUCCGUCACCCUCACUGUGAAGAAGUUCCUUCGCAUAUUGGUGCUGAACUUCCUAAACUCCAGUUUAUGGCUGUCUCCCCUUCUCUUGUGCCCACAGACCACUGAAAAAAGGUUGGCCAUGUCCCUUUGAGUCCCACACUUAGGAUAUUUAUAAACAUUAAUAAGAUCCCCUCUGAGUCUUCUUUCCUCAAGGCUGAACAGACCCAGGUCACCCAGUCUUUUCUCAUACGGGAGAUGCUCCAGGCCCUUUAUCAUCUUUGUGGUAAAUAAUGUCUCUUACUUUAGACUUCUGUAAAAAUGCAACAAGAAUAGAAGUUACAUCUGACUAAGGAAAUCUUAGCUUGCAAACAAACUUUGCUUGCAAAAUUUUAUUAGGAUGAUACACAAAGUUCUUGUAUUCGGGUAGGCCCAGGGCUGCUCCAGAAUUCAUUGGUGUGGGGAGUUCUAAAAGAUCGGCUUGUUAGUUAUAUCUUUUACAUGAUUUUUGAUGAAAAUGCACUUCAAGAAAUAUUUAAUUCUCUUUUACUCUC
ensembl:lncRNA